UACGAAGGGGGCUAGCGUUGCUCGGAAUCACUGGGCGUAAAGGGUGCGUAGGCGGGUCUUUAAGUCAGAGGUGAAAGCCUGGAGCUCAACUCCAGAACUGCCUUUGAUACUGAGGGUCUCGAGUUCGGGAGAGGUGAGUGGAACUGCGAGUGUAGAGGUGAAAUUCGUAGAUAUUCGCAAGAACACCAGUGGCGAAGGCGGCUCACUGGCCCGAUACUGACGCUGAGGCACGAAAGCGUGGGGAGCAAACGGG
rnacentral:rRNA from 1 species